AGACAGCAGCCGCCGCGGUAAUACAGAGGAUGCAAGCGUUAUCCGGAAUGAUUGGGCGUAAAGGGUUCGCAGGCGGUUUCUUAAGUCUGAUGCGAAAGCCCCCGGCUCAACCGGGGAGGGUCACUGGAAACUGGGAAACUUGAGUGCAGAAGAGGAGAGUGGAAUUCCACGUGUAGCGGUGAAAUGCGUAGAGAUGUGGAGGAACACCAGUGGCGAAGGCGACUCUCUGGUCUGUAACUGACGCUGAGGAGCGAAAGCGUGGGGAGCGAACAGGAUUAGAUACCCCCGUAGUCCCUGUCUCUUAUAC
rnacentral:rRNA from 1 species